GGAUCAGUACGCUGGUCGUGCCUUCGGUAUGUACUGGUGUUACUGGUUCCUACCUUCUGACGAACCGUCAUGUCAUUAAUUUGGUGUGGCGGGGAAUCAGGACUGUUACUUUGAAAAAAUUAGAGUGUUUAAAGCAGGCAUAUUGACCGCCUUGAAUACAUUAGCAUGGGAUAAUGGAAU
rnacentral:rRNA from 1 species